AGUAUAAUUUCAAUAAUUUUUAAAUUAUUGGAAUAGUUGUUUUUGACGAAAAUGAGAUCAGAAAUAUUUUAACAAAUAGAAGUAGAUUUUAUGAUGGAUAAUCUAUCAAAAAUUGAUGCUACAAGUUUGAAAAUAAAAUCUUAGAUAUAUUUUUUAAUUUUUUAAAAAAUAUGUUUAUAAUAAGUGGAUAGAAAAAUUCGAAUUCUAAAUACUUAGAUAGUCUAUCCAUUACCUUACCCACC
rnacentral:lncRNA from 1 species